ensembl:sense_intronic Gm38190 predicted gene, 38190
GAAUAAAUUUUACCUAAACUUAUGGUGAAAAUGCCAUUUCAUUGUUUUUUUUUUGUUUUUUUUGUUUUUUUUUUUUUUUGUUUUUUUGUCGUUGUUUUUUGAGACAGGGUUUCUCUGUAUAGCCCUGGCUGUCCUAGAACUCACUCUGUAGACCAGGCUGGCCUUGAACUCAGAAAUCUGCCUGCCUCUGCCUCCCAAGUGCUGGGAUUAAAGGCGUGUACCACUCGCCGGGCCAUUUCAUUGUUCUUAACCAUCUUAAAAAUAUGCAGUUUAGAAACCUCAGAUAACAACAGGUAAAAUAGAGUAUGCACCCAGUUUUUGUCUUAAUAUACAUCUUAAAUAUUUUCCCAUCUUUCCUCUAAAUAAUUUAAUGGUUUUAUAAUAUUUCAUCAUAUGGUUACAAAUUUGUAUAACCAUCUAUUCUUGUUUGUUUGUUUGUGACAAGACCUCUACAUAGCCCUGGCUGUCCUGGAACUAUGUAGAUCAAGCUGCCAUCAGCUCACAGAGAUCUGCCUGCCUCUGCCUCCUGAGUGCUGGGACUAAAGAUAUGAGCCACCAUACCAGGCUUAGUUAUUGGUAAUUGAGACAGAGUCUUUCUACAUAGUCCUGGUGCCCUGGAACUCACUAUGUGUAGGUAGGCUGCCCUUGAACUUGACCUGCCUGCCCCCCCCCCACCCCCCAAGUGGUAGGAUUAAGGGCUUGUGUCCCCUUGCCUGGCCGUAUAACCAUUUAUUUUGUCCUUUAUGAAAAUAAACAGCCGGGCUGUGAUGGCUCACGUCUUUAAUCCCAGCACUCUGGAGGUAGAGGCAGGUAGAUGAUCUGUGAGUUGGAGGAGAGCCAGGGCUACAGGGAGGAAAAAAACAGCAUACGGCCCUUUUCACUAUUAUAACAGAAGUUAUAACCAUUAGUAUAUAUAAUCCAACCUCUCUGUAUUUGGGGUUAUUUUGUAUAGAUUAGUACAGUUUAUAAUUUGAGUCAGAAAGUAUAAAUCCGAUUAAAUUCUUUGAAUGUUUUUGCUUGAUUGUAGCUCCAAGGAGAAAGUCGAUGUCCUAGAACAGGAGUGAGUGAGCCAGUGUGAUUAGGGCCCCAGGGGGGAAUGUAGGUGACCUAGAGAGCCUAGUGAGCUGGUGCUGUGUCCUCAGGGGGGAAGCUGAGUCUCCUUGAGAGCCCUGUCAGCAAGUGUUAGCUUCUAUCCUCUUUCUUCAAUGGGAUUGUUUCUUUUUCACCAGCUUUGAAAUUUCUAAGAAGUUGACAGUUGACAUUUCUACCAGAAGAGUUGGUUUUUGUCCUUACAAGCAACAGGCUCUUCAUUAUCUUUCCUUCAGAGCUAUUGUUGAUGCAGUCGUGUAAAAGCACAGAGUUCAGCAGAUGUGGGAGCGUAGUGCAUUAAGUCACCUCCUAGGCGAUAUUCAAACUUUUAUUUUUAAACUGUCAGGGGUCUUUGAUGACUCAUAAAUGAGAGAAAUAUUCUCCAUAAAGACCUGUAUUUCUUUCCUCUUAAACCUAACUUGUUUUAUUUAAUCAUAUAGGUUUUUAAAAAAUUAUUGAUUUUAAUAUAUGCACAAAGACCAGUUUGGUGAGUCUACUAGGAAAUAAUUUUAAAGCUAUUGGAAAGACUAUAAUCAUGCAUAGAUCUUUUUUUGACUUUAUGUAAAACUGUAACCUUUAAAAGUUUUAUUAGCAUAUAUUGAUAUGUAAUGGGUUUCAUGAUGACAUUUUCCUAUGUGAUUCCUGGCAAUCUCCUUGUUCCUACCUAGUCCCCUUCUAUUUUCUUGUAAGAAUAUGCUUUUUCUUUUUCCUUUUCUUUUUCUUUUUCUUUUUCUUUUUCUUUUUCUUUCUCUUUCUCUUUCUCUUUCUCUUUCUCUUUCUCUUUCUCUUUCUCUUUCUUUCUCUUUCGCUCUUUCUCUUUCGCUCUUUCUCUUUCGCUCUUUUUCUUUCUCUCUCUCUUUCUCUCCCUUUUUCCUUUUCUUUCUCUUUCUCUUUCUCUUUUGCUCUUUCUCUUUCUUUCUCUCUCUCUUUCUCUCUCUCCCUCUUUUUCUUUUUCUUUUUCUUUUUCUUUUUCUUUUUCUUUUUCUUUUUCUUUUUCUGAGACAGGGUGUCAGUGUGUAGACCAGGCUGGCCUUGAACUCACAGAACUGAGCUUAAAGGCAUGUGUCAUCACUCCUUGCAAGAAUACAGUCUCUUUGGUAUUAUUUUACCCUACCUCAUAAUUGUAACUAUUUAGUUCAAGAAUCUAGAAGUUUUAACAAGGAAAAAGGAAAAGAAAGCCUUGUGUGCUGUCAUAGAGCACUUACAUAGAGCUCUUGUGCUUUAUUUAGCAUCCCUUAGAAUUUUACUCAGAGCCAAUUUAAAUUGUACUUUAUGAUUAUAACCACACGAGAGUGAGACGGAAGGGCAUCAUUGUAUGUAUGCCCUUUGCCCUAACAGUUGAAUUGUUAUUUUCAUCUUUGUUUAUUAUUAUACAGUAUUAAGUGUAUUUGUUUGUUUUUCUAGCCUGUAGUAGAUUAGAAACCAGUUGAGAAGGAUAUGGAUAACUCAGGGAUAGAGCCGUCAUUCUGGAGCUACUGAAGGUUUACACACUCAGUUUAACUUGGCGCAGCCCAUAUGUUCUUACAUGUGAAGAUUGCUGCCAAGAAAUGGCAAAAUAAGAUUUAAGUUUUCUGCUUAAGGACACAGAAAAGUUAACAAUUUAAAUUAGAUAAUUUUAAAGCAGCCUUGUCAGAACCUUAUCUAUAUAUCUGCACUUAUGUUAAUGUUACAGUUUAUCUGCAGAAUUCCCAAAAGGAAAAAAUUUAUCUUUGCCAACAAUCUCCCUACCCAGAUGGAGACACUGGUCAAAUCCUGGUGUAUUUUAACUAGCAACUCAGAUACUUAAAUAUACACUUUAAGAGCCUUUUAUAAGGCCAGCCAGAUAGCCUGCCUCCUUCCCUCCCUCCUUCCUUCCCUCAUUCCCUCAUUCUUCUGAUUUUUGAUUUUUCAAUGUAGCCCUAGCUGUCCUGGAACUUGCUUUAUAAACCAGGCUGGUCUCUAAUUUAUAGAGAUCUGCCUCCUGAGUGCUGGGACUAAAGGUGUGUACUGCCACCACCACUAUCCGAGCUCAUUCCUAUCUUCAUAAAAUAAAAAAACUUCCUAAGUUAGAGUGACAAGAAGUUGAUAGUUCCUAGAUUAGUAAGUGGCUAGCUAAGACUUGGCUCUUGGAAUCCUCAUCGCACCGUUAGAAGGUGUUGAUUCAGGGAAGCCUGUCAGAGUAGAAGACUUAGGACCUGGCAGCCUAGGUGAAUGAACAACUUUGGUGAUUUAUCUUUUUGGUUGUGAGCCAUCUCUCUCGUCCUAGCUCUUGUAAUCUAGACAACCGAUAUAUACGUGCUUUCUUUAUCUUUAUCUCAUUUCUUCUAUGUAUGCUCAAUCUUUUGUGUUAUAGGUUCAACAGGAGCCAGAAAAGUUAGUUAUAUUAUGAGCAAAAUGUUACAUAUGUCAUUGUAAAAUCUGGUGUAAAAAUAGUGGUCAAUGGCCGGGCAGUGGCGGCGCACGCCUAAAACCCCAGCACUUGGGAGGCAGAGGCAGGCGGAUUUCUGAGUUCGAGGCCAGCCUGGUCUACAGAAUGAGUUCCAGGACAGCCAGGGCUAUAUAGAGAAACCCUGUCUCGAAAAACAAAACAAAAAACAAAAAAAACAAAACAAAAAAAGUGGUCAAUGAAUAGUUUCAUAUUUCUUUUUUAAAAACCCCCACAAAGAAGUCUAUAGAACAUUUUUAAAAGUUUCUAAAAUCAGUAAGACUUGGUUUAUAAGAUGUCUGGAAAAUGCACUUGCUUGGAACCUUAGUGUUAUACUUUCUGAUCGUGAGAUACUAAGACUUGCAGGUUUUGUUUUGUUUUGUUUUGUUUUUAAAUUUUAGUCAAGAUCUCACUGUGUAGUCCUGGUUGACCCAGAACUCACUGUGUAGACCAGGCUGGCUUCAAAGUCACAGAGAUCUGCCUGCCCCUGCCUCUUGAAUGCUGGGAUUAAAGGUGUGCACCACUGUGUCCAGAUUCAGAAUAUUUUUGUUGCUGCUUGCUUUUUUUAAAAAAAAGAUUUGUGUAUUGUAUGUAUAUGAGCACGUUGUAGCUGUACUGAUUGUUGUGAGCUAUCAUGUGGUUACUGGGAAUUUGAAUUCAGAACCUCUGCUUGAUCUGGUUGGCCCCACUCGCUUUGGCCUAAAGAUUUAUUUGUUAUUUUAUCUAAGUACACUGUUGCUGUCUUCAGAUCACCAGCAGAGGGCAUCAGAUCUCAUGGUUGGUUUUGAGCCAGCAUGUGGUUGCUGGGAUUUGAACUCAGAACCUUCGGAAGAGCAGUCAGGGCUCUUAACUGCUGAGCCAUCUCUCCAGCCCUGUUGCUUGCUUUUUGUUCUUGUUUUGAUAAAAGGUCUCGCUAUGUAGAUCUGGUUGGUAUAGAACUUGCUAUGGAGUGCAGGCUGGCUUCAUUAACAGAUCCUCUUCUGCCUCCUGAGUGCUAGAACUAAAGGUGUCCACCAACCACCACACCUAAGUGAGACCUGUUGUCUUUAUAAAUAUGUUUCUUCUAUAUGUACAUUUACUAUGUAUUUUCUAAUGCCAGCUAUUCGUAAGUGAUAAAUAAAAAACAGCAAGGUAGCUGGGCAUGGUGGUGCAGGCCUUUAAUCUCAGCACUUGAGAGGCAGAUGCAGGUAUAUCUCUGAGUUGGAGGCCAGCUUGGUGUUUUGAGGUGGAGGGGUUUAGGACAGUAACACAGAGACACCCUGUCUCAAAAAGCAACAGC